rnacentral:rRNA from 1 species
AUAACUAAGCGGAGGAAGAGAAACUAACCAGGAUUCCCCCAGUAACGGCGAGUGAAGCGGGAAGAGCUCACGUUUGAAAUCUGGCACGGGUUUGUUGUGUCCGAAUUGUAGUCUGUAGAGGCGAGACCGGCCGGACGAGGUGGCAAAGUCUCUUGGAAAAGAGCAUCAAGGAGGGUGACAAUCCCGUUCUUGCCUCCGUGCGAUCAUUGGCGUCGGGUCCGCUUUCGACGAGUCGAGUUGCUUGGGAUUGCAGCUCAAAGUGGGUGGUAAAUUCCAUCUAAAGCUAAACACGCGUGGGAGACCGAUAGCGAACAAGUACCGUGAGGGAAAGAUGCAAAGAACUUUGAAAAGAGAGUUAAAGAGUGCCUGAAAUUGCUGAAAGGGAAGCGAAGGAAGAUCAGUGUCUGUCGGUCCCGCUUCUCCCGCGCUCCUCGGAGCUUGGGAUUGCGGUUCCGUCGUGGCCAGGGCCGGUUAGUUUGUUGCGGGAGGCUACGUCGCGGGAGGUACGUCUCCUCCUUAGUGGGGAGAGGGAAUGCCGUGGCGAAUCUAUGUCGUGAGGCUGGCCGGUCCUGACGAAAUGGUUUUCUUCACCCC